rnacentral:rRNA from 1 species
UGAGGAAUAUUGGUCAAUGGUCGGAAGACUGAACCAGCCAUGCCGCGUGAAGGUCAGUGCCCUAUGGGCGUUAAACUUCUUUUGUGUGAGAGCAAUAAGGACCUCGUGAGGUCCGAUGAGAGUAUCACACGAAUAAGCAUCGGCUAACUCCGUGCCAGCAGCCGCGGUAAUACGGGGGAUGCGAGCGUUAUCCGGAUUUAUUGGGUUUAAAGGGUGCGUAGGCGGCCUGUUAAGUCAGCGGUGAAAUAUCCUCGCUCAACGAGGAGACUGCCGUUGAUACUGGUGGGCUUGAAUGCGGAUGCCGUUGGAGGAAUGUGUGGUGUAGCGGUGAAAUGCAUAGAUAUCACACAGAACACCGAUUGCGAAGGCAGCUUACCGUAGCGUUACUGACGCUGAAGCUCGAAAGUGCGGGUAUCGAACAGGGAUUAGAUACCCUGGUAGU